ensembl:lncRNA
AGGAGCAGUUACGCCCCUGAGCCACAACGAACUGAGCCUGUGCUGCAGAGUUGAUGAGCUGCAACUGCAGAAGAAGCCUGUGUGCCGCAAUAAAGACCCAGCACAGCCAUCAGUGAAUAAAUAUAAAUAAAUAAUAACCUUAGAAGUUAAGGAAAAAUACGGGCUCUGUCAUUCUUUGGGGCUUCUGUGACUCUUCCAGCAGGCUGAUUGUGGUGGGCAGAACUGUCGUCCUCCCCUGCCCCCACUCGGACCGUGAAGAUCCUCUAAUCCCCAGAACCUGUGGAUGUGUUACGUCACUUGGCCACAGUGAGUUCAGGUUGCGGAUACCAUGAAGGCUGCUGGUCAGCGGACUUUACAGUAGAGAGAAGAGAUGAGAUUACCUCGAUGGGCUCAAUCUCAUCACCUGGAGAUCCGAGAAGGUGCCAUGAGCCGCCUCGAGGAGCCAGGAACAGCCCUCAGGUACAGCCAGUGAGAAAACAGGGACCUCGCUACAACUUCGAGGAGCUACAUUCUGUUAGCAACCCAAAUGGACGGAAACCAGAUUCUCCCCUAAAACUUAGAGGCUUCAGAAAGGAACGCAGCAGCUGACCUCUGGAUUUCAGCCAUGCCUGCCAGACUUCUGACCUGCAGAGCUGUGAGGCAAUUUGCGCUGCUUCAGAUGAGAGACCUACAGAUACAGAGACUGGAAUCCUGGAACACACUGGGGCGUGAGGAUCUCUGUUUGGCGACCCCACUAAGAUCCUUUGUGUGGAACUGACUGAAUGUCUCUGAAACCUCUAGAAACCCUGGGCUUAUGGAUGCUAAGGAAAUGUCAUUCAACUCGUGCAAAAGCGAAGGACAAAAGCGAAAUAAGAGAAAGGGGGUGCUGCUCACAGUUUAAAGGCUCUUAUUUAUGGUUUCCCACAAGAUGGGGCCUGAGGACAGAAAAUCAGAAGUAGGCUGUUGGGCCAAGUCUCAUGUUCAGAACCACUUCUGUCCCAUCCCAAGGCCUUCCUGCUCCAGGGCCUUUACAAAUAUGCUUCUGGAUAUUGUACCUGUCUCUACAGUCUCCCAGGUUUACCAGAUUAUUCCCUUUAAAAAAUUCUUUUUUUUUUUUUUUUAUGUUUUGGCCAGGCCACACAGCAUACUCUUUCUUAGUUCCUUGACCAGGGAUUGAACCUGAGUCCUGUGCAGUUCAAGUACAGAGUCUUAACCACUAGACUGCCAGGGAAGUCCCUGACUAAUACAAUUUUUUUUUUUUAAGAUGCAGCUCACUUUGAAAAUAUCAAAAGUUUGAAAUUAUCUUCAGAUGAAGUUUAAAGAAUGUGUGCUCUGCUAGGUUGCUUGAGUCCGAUCCGACUCUGUGUGAUCCCAUGGACUGUAGCUCUCCAGGCUCCUCUGUCCAUGGGAUUCUCCAGGCAUGAAUACCGGAGUGGGUUUCUGUUCUCUUCUCCAGGGGCUCUUCCCAACCCAGGGAUCCAACCAGCAUCUCUUC